GGACCCGCACAAGCAGUGGAGCAUGUGGUUUAAUUCGACGCAACGCGAAGAACCUUACCAGCGUUUGACAUGGGAAGUGCCGGUUACAGAAUGGUAACCUUCAGUUCGGCUGGCUUCCACACAGGUGCUGCAUGGCUGUCGUCAGCUCGUGUCGUGAGAUGUUGGGUUAAGUCCCGCAACGAGCGCAACCCUUAUCGUUAGUUACUAACAGUUCGGCUGAGGACUCUAGCGAAACUGCCGGUGAUAAGCCGGAGGAAGGUGGGGAUGACGUCAAGUCCUCAUGGCCCUUACACGCUGGGCUACACACGUGCUACAAUGGUAACUACAACGGGACGCAAUACUGCGAGGUGGAGCAAAUCCCCAAAAGUUAUCUCAGUUCGGAUUGCACUCUGCAACUCGAGUGCAUGAAGUUGGAAUUGCUAGUAAUCGC
rnacentral:rRNA from 1 species